rnacentral:rRNA from 1 species
CCUACGGGGAGCAGCAGUGGGGAAUAUUGCACAAUGGGGGAAACCCUGAUGCAGCGACGCCGCGUGAGUGAAGAAGUAAUUCGUUAUGUAAAGCUCUAUCAGCAGGGAAGAAAAUGACGGUACCUGAGUAAGAAGCCCCGGCUAACUACGUGCCAGCAGCCGCGGUAAUACGUAGGGGGCAAGCGUUAUCCGGAUUUAUUGGGCGUAAAGAGCGCGCAGGUGGUUAAUUAAGUCUGAUGUGAAAGCCCACGGCUUAACCGUGGAGGGUCAUUGGAAACUGGUUGACUUGAGUGCAGAAGAGGGAAGUGGAAGUCCAGGUGUAGCGGUGAAAUGCGUAGAGAUAUGGAGGAACACCAGUGGCGAAGGCGGCUUCCUGGUCUGCAACUGACACUGAGGCGCGAAAGCGUGGGGAGCAAACAGGAUUAGAUACCCCAGUAGUC